CAACCUGAUUUAAAUCUAACCUUGAGUUUUAAAAAACAACUCUCAAAACUGAAACUAUAAUGCAUCAAAUUGGUAUAGCAGAGACAUCAAAACACAGCAAACUUUGACACCAUUGCUUAUAAAACUCAACCCUGAACCCUGAAUCGGUUGAAGACCUAUCCAGCCGUGACCUAAGAGAACAUAAAAAUAGAAUACGAAACCUACAUGUAAAAUCUUACGCCAACAAUACUACAUCCAAAAACUACAUUAAUCCAAAAAAAAGAAAACCAAAACAUUACAAAGUACUGCACCGUUGCUUCCAAACUUAACCAUGAAGAAUAAGUCAAAAAGACCAAUCACAGCCGCGACCAAAGAGAACAUUAAGAUACAAAAAGCUGCGGAAGCAAUUAACAUUACGCUACACUACUACAACAACAACAUGGCCAGCGAGAGAGAGAGAGAGUGAGGAGCCUUACUUCUCCAUUCAGAAACCUUUCUGAUUCAAUCAACAACAAUUACUUUCCGAGGCUUUCCAAGUCUCGGUUUUGUUGAUGCCUUCUGCUUACUCUGCUUCACAUUCUUUCUUCUUUUGGUUCCAUUCAUAUGCCAGUCAUCGUCAUCAUCAUCAUCUUCUUCUUCCUCACUAGGAUCAGAAUCUAUGUAGUCAUCAUCAUCUUCGUCUUCAUUAUAAUAUACCUUCCGAGAGGCUUUUUUAGGUGCUGUUCUUGGUAUAUCGUAGACUGGGAAUCCUCUUGGUAAGUCGGGGAUCUUAACCGUCUCUGCGAAUCCUAUUGGAUAGAAACCCCAACAGCAAUAGUAAGUAUCUUCUUCAGUAACUGGUGGUGGAGAUGGAACUUUCACCGCCUGGAAAGCUCUCCUACAGCUCUUAGUUUGACAUUUAAGCACGCUUUCCUCGUACAUGUUGGGAUACUCGAAAAGCACGAAGCAGUAUGGACAAGUCGUCCAGAAACUUGGAACCUUCGGGAUAGAAUCUGAACUCGGAGUCUGUUCAGUAUGUUGGGAUUGGUUAGGGACCCCCGUUGGCUGAGGAGGAGAUGGAUUAGUAGAGGCCACUGGAACUGGAGAGGGAGUAGUGGAGACAGCUGGAACCGAAGGUGGAGUAGUAGAGACCGGAGGUUGCUGGAAUGAUUGAGUUGAAUUGAAGAUAGGAGGAUUAAAAAAAUAUAGAUUAGUUAUUUAGUUCCAUAAUUUUAGGUUAGUGUAUAUAUUUAAUAAUAAUUAAGUUAGACAUAAAUAUAAAUAAUUAAAAAGGUAGUUAAGUGUAAUAGUCCAACUUAGACUAUUUGUAAAUAGAUAACUUAGACUAUUUGUAAAUAGAUAGAACCUAAAUUAAUAUAUUAGAUUCUCAAAACUGAAACUAUAAUGCAUCAAAUUGGUAUAGCAGAGACAUCAAAACACAACAAACUUUGACACCAUUGCUUAUCGGUUGAAGACCUAUCCAGCCGUUACCUAAGAGAACAUAAAAAUAGAAUACGAAACCUACAUGGAAAAUCUUACGCCAACAAUACUACAUCCAAAAACUACAUUAAUCCAAAAAAAGAGAACCAAAACAUUACAAAUUACUGCACCGUUGCUUCCAAACUUAACCAUGAUGAAUAAGUCAAAAAGACCAAUCACAGCCGCGACCAAAGAGAACAUUAAGAUACAAAAAGCUGCGGAAGCAAUUAACAUUACGCUACACUACUACAACAACAACAUGGCCAGCGAGAGAGAGAGUGGGGAGCCUUACUUCUCCAUUCAGAAACCUUUCUGAUUCAAUCAACAACAAUU
rnacentral:lncRNA from 1 species